rnacentral:rRNA from 1 species
UACGUAGGGUGCGAGCGUUAAUCGGAAUUACUGGGCGUAAAGCGUGCGCAGGCGGUUCGUUAAGUCAAAUGUGAAAGCCCCGGGCUCAACCUGGGAACUGCAUUUGAAACUGGCGGGCUUGAGUAUGGCAGAGGGGGGUGGAAUUCCGCGUGUAGCAGUGAAAUGCGUAGAGAUGCGGAGGAACACCGAUGGCGAAGGCAGCCCCCUGGGCCAAUACUGACGCUCAGGCACGAAAGCGUGGGGAGCAAACAGG